GGUGGCUCAGUGGUAGAGUGCUUGCCUUGCAUGCAUGAGGCCUUGGGUUUGACUCCCCAGCACCA
rnacentral:tRNA from 1 species